AACGAACGCUGGCGGCAGGCCUAACACAUGCAAGUCGAGCGAGGGAGCAAUCCCUAGCGGCGGACGGGUGAGUAACGCGUGGGAACGUGCCCCUUGGUACGGAAUAGCCCCGGGAAACUGGGAGUAAUACCGUAUGUGGUCGAGAGACGAAAGAUUUAUCGCCAAGGGAUCGGCCCGCGUUGGAUUAGGUAGUUGGUGGGGUAAUGGCCUACCAAGCCGACGAUCCAUAGCUGGUUUGAGAGGAUGAUCAGCCACACUGGGACUGAGACACGGCCCAGACUCCUACGGGAGGCAGCAGUGGGGAAUCUUAGACAAUGGGCGCAAGCCUGAUCUAGCCAUGCCGCGUGAGCGAUGAAGGCCUUAGGGUUGUAAAGCUCUUUCGUGGGGGAAGAUAAUGACUGUACCCCAAGAAGAAGCCCGGCUAACUCCGUG
rnacentral:rRNA from 1 species